rnacentral:snRNA from 1 species
UCUGGUGGAAGCCCGCAG